UACGUAGGGUGCAAGCGUUAUCCGGAAUUAUUGGGCGUAAAGAGCGCGCAGGCGGUCGUCCAAGUCGCGUGUGAAAGCCCCCGGCUCAACUGGGGAGGGUCACGCGAUACUGGUCGACUCGAAGGCAGGAGAGGGUAGUGGAAUUCCCGGUGUAGUGGUGAAAUGCGUAGAUAUCGGGGGGAAUACCAGUGGCGAAAGCGGCACCCUAGCGUUAGCCUGACGCUCAUGUGCGAAAGCGUGGGGAGCGAACGGG
rnacentral:rRNA from 1 species